rnacentral:rRNA from 1 species
UACGAAGGGAGCUAGCGUUGUUCGGAAUCACUGGGCGUAAAGCGCACGUAGGCGGAUUUGCCAGUCAGGGGUGAAAUCCCGGGGCUCAACCUCGGAACCGCCUUUGAUACAGCAAGUCUUGAGUUCGAGAGAGGUGGGUGGAAUUCCUAGUGUAGAGGUGAAAUUCGUAGAUAUUAGGAAGAACACCGGUGGCGAAGGCGGCCCACUGGCUCGACACUGACGCUGAGGUGCGAAAGCGUGGGGAGCAAACAGG